GCAAUCAAAGAAAAGUACUCGCUUCGGCUUGGAACCAUAGAGAGAAAAUUAGCGUGUCCUCCGCGCGUGGUUGACACGUAAAAUCGUGAAGCGUUCCGCAUUUUU